AAUAUCCGUGGUAAUAUAAGCAGCCGUCAGUGAUGCUGUAUUUUAGAGACCUUAUUAUUUGACUUAUUACAGUGUUUAUCUUGUCAAAAUAAGGAAAUGGGUUUUGUAGAUGCAAUUGCCCCACAAUUUUAUUCGAUAUAAAUGACCAUUUACACGGACAUAUGAGAGAAAGGACAACGUGUGCAGUGUCGUCAGACAGUGAACAUUAUAUGUGUGCAGAGCACGAAACACGGACCGCAAGAGUUGACCGGAGAGGCCCGUUACGUCUGCAGAAAUACUGAUUUGAACUAUAAUACCAAGACUUGGCACAGACAGCAAGAGGCUCAAAAUGAAAAAUGAUCGAUGUCAGCAGCCAUGCCACCUGUAGCUCAGACCAGGUAAUCCAUCUGAAGCAGCUUUGGACCUGGCCGGGACUUGGAUGGGAGACCAACUAGGAAAGCUGGGCUACUGCUGGAAGAGGUGUUGGUGUGGCCAACAGGUUAGUCCACCCUGUGGUCAGUGUGGAUCCCAGUGCCCCAGUGCAGUGAUGAGGACACGCACACACAUACACACAGAGCGGCCAGUUAGAGAGAGCUCACACUUGGCGCUGUGUGUCUGUGUGUGUCUGUGUAUAUGCCCUAACUAGAUGCUUUGUGUGUAAGUGAGUGCGCAUGCUCUCACUGAGCACUGUGUGUGUGUGUGUUUGUGUGUGUGCUCUAAAAGGGUGCUGUUAGUGUCUGUGAGCCCGUAUGUGUCUGUGUGCUCUAACUGGGUGCUCUGUGUGUGUCCAUGUGUUUACUGUGACUGGGAGCUGUGUGGGUGUGUGCAUGC